GACGAACGCUGGCGGCGUGCUUAACACAUGCAAGUCGAACGGAAAGGCCCUGCUUUUGUGGGGUGCUCGAGUGGCGAACGGGUGAGUAACACGUGAGUAACCUGCCCUUGACUUUGGGAUAACUUCAGGAAACUGGGGCUAAUACCGGAUAGGAGCUCCUGCUGCAUGGUGGGGGUUGGAAAGUUUCGGCGGUUGGGGAUGGACUCGCGGCUUAUCAGCUUGUUGGUGGGGUAGUGGCUUACCAAGGCUUUGACGGGUAGCCGGCCUGAGAGGGUGACCGGCCACAUUGGGACUGAGAUACGGACCAGACUCCUACGGGAGGCGGCAGUGGGGAAUAUUGCACAAUGGGCGGAAGCCUGAUGCAGCAACGCCGCGUGCGGGAUGACGGCCUUCGGGUUGUAAACCGCUUUCGCCUGUGACGAAGCGUGAGUGACGGUAAUGGGUAAAGAAGCACCGGCUAACUACGUG
rnacentral:rRNA from 1 species